AGGCGUUCUGGGACUCCUCCUGUAGCCUCAGGUUGUCCUCUCGCAGGUGCUGCACCUCCGCCUGAAGGUGGGCUUUGUCUUCUUUUUCCUGGGAGGUAGAGUGAAGUAGAAAAGCUAAGAGGUGUGGCCCCACCUUGCCCAGCUCUUCUGAGAAGUAGCUAUGGACCUGUUUUGAUCUUUUGCCCAUUUCUGUUUUUUGUUCCUCCAAACACCUGUCUAAACAGCCUGGUAGCAGGUGCUAAGACACUCUCAGCUCAGGGAACAGGGCUUCUAGAGAGAUUCAACCUCGCAGGAUUAGCUCUGCAGUCACUGGCAGGUGUGACACAAGGUACAGAGUGCUGCCCUCCCACGGGGACCAACCUGCUGAAAGGCUUCAUCUGGGCCAGAGCCUGGUCCUCCAGCUGAUCACUGUUGGAUGCAGCACUCAAGGGGCGAUGGUUUUCAUCACUAGCAGCAAAAAACGAGGCUCUCUGGACUGGAAAGGAGAGAAGAAACCAUUGAGUAUUUUGGAACCACACCCUGGGCCCUAUCUAUCAAAGUCAACAAGUGGUCUAGUUGACAGUCAUGUCUAGUAUUUCCAGUGCAGGAUGCACUGGAAAUCUUAUUUCCCAGCUCUCACAGGGAAAAAUAUGACUGUUUUAGCUGUAAGAGGAUUGUACCAUUGUAAUUUCCCUUUAAAAAACAUUUGUGAGUCAAUUUCUAGUCCCCCCUCAUCACAGUAGCAUUCUAUGAAAUGUUUCUCUGGAAACAGUCCUUGUGCCAAAUUUCCAGACCAAGGCUUUCCACUCAGCAAUGAAAUAAAUGCAUUCGAGAGCUAGCAUUAUACUUAAAACUUCUUGAAGUAUGUCUUCCACAAGAUUCCUGGACACUCUGGUUGGCUUUAACAUAAAUCCAUACCAGCUGUGUUCCAAAACAUACCAAGUUAAAAUUUAAGCCAAGAAAACUAAAUCAAAUUUAAAAUAAUCUCCUAUUAAAACCCAAAACUUCUACCAUUUGUAUAUGAAGGAGAUUAACCAACAAACUGAAAAAUCAAGUUAGAACUAGGUAUUUCCAUCUGCUAGAUAAACAGCAUGAAGGUAAAAGCAUCCGCUGCUGACCACUCCAUGGUUGCCCGACUUACAGGUUCUGUGGCCUAGUAAAUUUCCCCCCAAAAUUCAAACUUGACUAAAUAGCAAUUUUCAAUUCUCCUAAUUAAGAGCAACAACAACAACAAAAACAGAAAAAAAAAUCACCUGCUAUAAUUUUGUAAAGAAUAAGAACUAUACAUUUUAGAAAGAUCUUUAAAUGUAGAAAAAAGUCAGUCUUCAUUCAAAAAACAAAACAAAAAACCCAGCUGCCAAUCUUAUGUCUACACACACAUACCGCACUACUUUUUCUGUUUUCAUUACAGCAGACAAGAUCAGUACCAGUCUGAGGACCUGCAUUUAAGAACUGCCAGCCUAAAGUGAGCACACGGCCAGCAGGCUGGCAAGGAGACAAUGCAGACAGACAACGUGCUACUGCACACGGAGACGAGGGAGAACGGCAAGGGAGAUGCCCCACAUUUGUCAGGACAGGCACGUGGCCAAGCAGGGCAAGCACUGUGACACUUAGCAACAACGUCUUUGCGACGUGAUGAAAGAUCCUCUCUGGAUACGUGUUCUUUUCAGUCAAGGGACAGCUGGGAUUCCUCUUCCCACUGCCCUUCCCAUAUACAGAGGAGGUGAGGCAUUCAUGUUAUGAAUCCUGUGGAGGAAACACCAGGUGGCAUCUGAUUACAUAAAACGUGCUUAAGUGUCCAGCUUA